rnacentral:rRNA from 1 species
GGCCGCAGUAUUUUGACUGUGCAAAGGUAGCAUAAUCAUUAGUCUUUUAAUUGAAGGCUGGUAUGAAUGGUUGGAUGAGGUGAAUUCUGUUUUAUAUUAAUAAUAUUGAAUUUAGAAUUUAAGUAAAAAGACUUAAAUAGUAUUAAGGGACGAGAAGACCCUAUAGAGUUUGAUAAAUGUAGAAGUUAAUUGAGUUAAAAUUAAAGAAAUUUUUAAUUACUAUAAAAUUUAUUUGAUUGGGGUGACUAGAAGAUAUACAAAACUCUUCUUUAAAUUUAAUAUUAUAAUUAGUUUUAUGAUCCAUAUUUAAUGAUUGAAAGAUUAAAUUACCUUAGGGAUAACAGCAUAA